GGGGUGAGGAAAGCAGCCAGGCAAGGAAGCCUUCUGAUUUUCCGCAGGUCUUGUAUUUGGCAGUACCAACCAACAUAGUGAGCUAUUUCCUGAUUGCCCGGGAGUGUAUCCAGCCUUGCUGCCCCCAUAUCAGGGUUCACAGUACCCAGACUAACUCCUGCAACAACAACAAAAAAAAAACCCAGUCCUUCAAACCAGCAUCAGUGAAAAGAAAGGAAAUGUGCUGUGCCUACAGAAGGGAGAGACUGGACCUUCUAGCCCUCAGUGAGACUGAGCCCUCAGUGAGACUGAGCUGUCCAGGGUACUAAAAAAAAGAAAGAUGGAAAAACAAACGUUUCGCUAGUCAGUCAUCAGCGCUACAGACUGGGAGCAGCUCAAGCCUUUCAUGAGAGUUCUUCCUUUGGGGGUUUGUGUGUGUCAUCUCAUUAGAGGAGUUUGCCAGCUCCUACAUCGGCAGUCCUCCCGUAGACACGCUGCAGUGUAAUAGACAGACUCUGAUAUUAUGAAAUGGAGAUUAUGGGUGUGGAAAAAUGUGACUUUCUGGAGUCCUCAACAGAACAACAAGUUAAGAUGCAGGAAUGUUAUACAGAGCAAACUUCGGAGUGUCCAGCACAGUAAAUAAGAGGUCCUACCUUCAUGGGGUCGCUAGGCAACAUGCAUGCCAGCAAGCACCACUGUGAAGGUUUACCUGCAGCAUCGGGUAGAUUGCCUCAAUGGGAAGCCGCGGUUAAAUUCCACUGAGGCUGCACUUUGAAGAAGCAUAAUAAAUUUGUGGUAGUGCUGUCUCCCCUGCGAGGAAUACGCCUCGAUAGCUGGCAUUCACAUUCUCUUUCUCAAAUUGCUUCUAAAAGCAUUAUUCUGUCCGGAAUGACAGAAAUCCCUGAGGUUGCCGGAUCAGGUCUGGAAACCACCUUGGGAUUCAGACACCAGGAGAGGUGACCUUGAGUCCACGGUUGGCUAUGAGCAUGGAAACCCUUGGGGACUUUAUCCGUAAAGUAAGAAGACUCGAAUAGAUGAUUUGAAAGGCUCCUUUCAGCUCAGAUAAGGUAAAAUGUUUUGAAAAAGCUUUCUAAGAUGUUAGAGUCAAAAACGUAUGUGAGAGAAUGCAUUAUGGAAUUUGCUCUCAGUGUAUUCUACUUAAAAUGUCAGUAUUCUCUCUGUACUUUGGGAUGUCUGUUUAUUGUGUUAUAUUUUUAAUGGAAGCUAUAAAAUAUUGGGUGACAUAUAUUAUACUACACAUUAGACUUAUGGGUCAUAGAGAAACGUCUUGAUAAAGAAGGCAACGGAUACACUCAGGUGAAAAGCCAUCUUAACUAGGGUCUUCUGUUCUUUGUGGUACAUCAGGAGCAAGGAAAUAUUGGAAUAAACCCUGCUGACUAACUCCAGACUAUUCUGUAUCUGCAUAGCAUUGACAUACAUAUUAGUGGUUUUAUCUAUAUAUUUUUCAAUCAGAUACUUAGAACAAGAUUUGUAAAAGUCUUCCGUUCACAACUCUCUGUCACCACAAAUUGUCAUGUACCUUGCCAUUUUUAAUUUCGUCUCCUUUUUAAUUAAAACAUGAAUUGUUACUC
ensembl:antisense Gm26994 predicted gene, 26994